rnacentral:lncRNA from 1 species
GUCCUUAACUAUGGCAGAGAAGAGAAGAUAGAUAAGGAAAGGUGGACGAGAAAGAAGAAAGCGAAGCGUGUGACGGAGAAAAAUUCUUCUAAAGAAGAAGCUCGAGAAGUAGAGACAGAAAACUCUUGUGAAAGAAGAAGAAACUUUGAACUCUUGUAAAGAAUAAAACACCCAGUUGAAGAAGUACAAAAACAGAAGAAUUUGAAGAAUAUGUGAACUCAAGUGAAAGAGAAAAAGGAGAGAGAGAGAAUCUUAGAAGAGCUCGGCGUCAUGGACUCGGAUUGUUGAUAAAAUCCAUAUGAAUGUAGAAGAAAGAGAUAAGGAUGAAGGAAGUAGCAGCUGAACCAUAAGCUACAGUAAGGACACAACAGUUAGUAGUUCUACCUCACUCUCCUCGUAGUUUGCCAAACACAUUGGUAGAAAUAAGGAUCACUACUUCGGUAUUGAUAGGAAGAAAUGUUGGUGAGUGAUCAUAAUUAAGUAAUUGGACAUAUUUUGAUGAUGUCUUAGCUGGUUUUGGGGUAGAAAUAGCUAAAACUAGUCUUUUUAUUUUUGUACUACUGGUAUAACUAGAUAGAACUUAUUCCAACUGUUUGCUUGUUGCAGGAUUCCGAGGAUGAACCGACAUAAAUACAACCUAUGUCCAUGUACUUCCCU